rnacentral:rRNA from 1 species
UUUACCUACGGGAGGCAUCAGUGGGGAAUAUUGCGCAAUGGGGGCAACCCUGACGCAGCAACGCCGCGUGAUUGAAGAAGGCCUUCGGGUUGUAAAGAUCUUUAAUCGGGGACGAAUUUUGACGGUACCCGAAGAAUAAGCUCCGGCUAACUACGUGCCAGCAGCCGCGGUAAUACGUAGGGAGCAAGCGUUAUCCGGAUUUAUUGGGUUUAAAGGGUGCUCAGUCGGUCUGUUAACUCACCGGUCAAAGCCCGGGGCUCAACCCCGGCCCGCCGUUG